CAGCACCAUCGCCCAAAAGCGCCCUCCCUCUUCUCCCUCCCUCCUUCCUCUUUUACCUGGUCUCCCUUUCUGCCUUGAAGCCAGGCUUUGAGGCUGCGGAGGGGCGGGGGCGGGGCCUAAGGGCACGGAGGGCACGCACCUCCCAGGAGACCACGCCCCCUGCUUCCGAAGGAGUGCCUUGGAAGUGCCCUUCGGCCCCGCCCCCUCUGCAGCCUGCGCGUGGCCUGAUCAAGAUGGCGGUUCCCAUGGGCUGUCUGGCCAUGUUCCAAAAGCAUUCUCUCCUGACGUUUUGCCUGCAUCUAUGGCAGGCACCCUCAGUGGUUGCAAGGAUGAAGAGGAAGCAUUGGUGAGCAGCAGCACCUUUGGGUUCAUUCUCUUAGCCAAUUACAGAUCCACUCUAAUCCGCUGUGCUUGGUUGAGGCACUACCUGGCUGAAAAGGUAGGUUUUAUGGGGUCACAUUCAGCCACCAAGAGCCAUAAAUAUGAAUCCCUAGAAUUACAACAUUAUAAAUCUGUUUUAUGAUCUC
rnacentral:lncRNA from 11 species